GUGAGUUUGGGGGCUGCGGGGCGUGCGGCAGGCUGUCCGCACCGGGUGGCUGUGGGAAAGCUGGCAUUGCCCCACUGGGGAUGUCCUUGCUUUUCCAGCAGCCACAGCGAGCGCAGACAUCCCGGAGGACGUGGCGGACAUCCAGCAUCUCCUGGCAUGGCUCAACGACGAAGUGACAUCCAAGACAGGCAUCCUGGACGACGACGCAGACAUCGAUGACCUGCUCACGUGGAUCAACAACGAAGAGACACCCAGCACCCACAGACUUGACAACGAUGAUGUGGAAAUGGACCGUUUGCUCACCUGGAUUGACGGUGAGACUGUGCUCCGCAGAGGUGACC
rnacentral:lncRNA from 1 species